UUCUUCGUAGCACAGUGGUAGUUGCACCGAGCUGUUAAUAGGGCUAAGAACCUGUCAAGCGAACUCGGGGGUCGUAGGUUCGAGCCCUACCGAGGAAG